rnacentral:rRNA from 1 species
UACGUAGGGACCGAGCGUUGUCCGGAAUCAUUGGGCGUAAAGAGCGUGUAGGCGGCCUUUUAAGUCCUGCGUGAAAUCCUGCGGCUCAACCGCAGACGGUCGUGGGAAACUGGAAGGCUAGAGUGCGGGAGAGGAGAGUGGAAUUCCCGGUGUAGCGGUGAAAUGCGCAGAUAUCGGGAGGAACACCAGUGGCGAAGGCGGUUGCCUGGAGCUUUGCUGACGCUGAGGCGCGAAAGCGUGGGGAGCGAUCCGG